rfam:Schistosoma mansoni strain Puerto Rico chromosome 1, complete genome
AUCCAACUGACGAGUCCCAAAUAGGACGAAGUGCACGUCAAACUGGAU